CCUACGGGGGGCAGCAGUAGGGAAUAUUGCUCAAUGGGGGAAACCCUGAAGCAGCAACGCCGCGUGGAGGAUGAAGGUUUUCGGAUUGUAAACCCCUUUUGUUAGAGAAGAUAAUGACGGUAUCUAACGAAUAAGCACCGGCUAACUCCGUGCCAGCAGCCGCGGUAAUACGGAGGGUGCAAGCGUUACUCGGAAUCACUGGGCGUAAAGAGCGCGUAGGCGGGAUAGCAAGUCAGAUGUGAAAUCCUAUGGCUUAACCAUAGAACUGCAUUUGAAACUGUUAUUCUAGAGUAUGGGAGAGGUAGGUGGAAUUCUUGGUGUAGGGGUAAAAUGCGUAGAGAUCAAGAGGAAUACUCAUUGCGAAGGCGACCUGCUAGAACAUAACUGACGCUGAGGCGCGAAAGCGUGGGGAGCAAACAGGAUUAGAUACCCCUGUAGUC
rnacentral:rRNA from 1 species